rnacentral:other from 1 species
GUCGCCCUACGAUGUUAGUACUUCUUAAUGUCUUAAACCGAUACUGUUUUUUAGGGAGUUCAACAUACCCUUUCUAACAACAAGCCCUGCAAGCUAGGGGAAGUUGAAGGAUUUGGAGAGGACACCCACCUACGAGAGUAGGUUUUUAAGACAUCACGAGGUACGGCAAAGUGGGAUACAU